rnacentral:lncRNA from 1 species
UAAUUAGAUAACCAUAACUACGCUCAUACAAUUGAGGUCGCUGUCGGUGGCCACGGCCGCGGUUGGCCGACGGUCAUAGUAGCAGCUUAGUCAAGCUUGGUCUCAUCCAUGUAUGUAUGUAUGUAUGUAUGUAUGUAUGUAUGUAUGUAUGUAUGUAUGUAUGUAUGUAUGUAUGUAUGUAUGUAUGUAUGUAUGUAUGUAUGU